rnacentral:rRNA from 1 species
GACAGAGGGUGCAAACGUUGUUCGGAAUUACUGGGCGUAAAGGGUUCGUAGGUGGCCAACUCAGUCAGACGUGAAAUCCCUCAGCUCAACUGGGGAACUGCGUCUGAUACUAGAUGGCUCGAGUGCAGGAGAGGAACGCGGAAUUCCAGGUGUAGCGGUGAAAUGCGUAGAGAUGUGGAGGAACACCGAUGGCGAAGGCAGCCCCCUGGGUCAAGAUUGACGCUCAUGCACGAAAGCGUGGGGAGCAAACAGG